AUGCUAAUCGCUGUGUUUUGGAAGGGAAGCAAUAGACUUUCAGUCCAGAUCCCCCACUCCGCCCUCCCGCUUAAGUUCAACCGGCAACUUCGCGACCCAAGCUCCCCUACACUCCGGGGGCGCCCUGGACCCCGCGGUGCCUGGCGCGCUUCUCCUCCGCCUCCCCUGCCCCAGAGCGAAAGCCAGGAUAGGGUUCCCCAGCACCCCGCAGGAAUCCCAGGCAGUCGAUUCAAGCCAGGGGAGCGCUCAGCCCACUCCACACCGGAAGCCUUUUGGACCAGCCGUGGUCACAGAAAGAGCAACUAGGACUGCUGCUGCCUUUUGUGGCCUGCGGAAAUUGUGCACGGGUCACCCCAAUGGUGUGUCUGGAGCUGGGAAUACAGAAGUUGCAAUAAAUGGAUUUAUUGGCAACCCCUAACCUUGCUGUGGCAAACCCUCCUUUAACUGUGUUUUAAACAUGUUCCCCAUAAAAAUUUCAACCUCAUGCAGAGCUUCCCAAUAUAAAGAUACCCCCAGAGAGGAGUGUCCAUAUUUAGACUUCUUAUGAAAAGGGACAGGAAGCAAAACGCCACACAAUCUUCCUACAUAAAUGAAAAAUGACAAAUUCGCUGGAUUUAGUUUCAUAGUUUCAAAGGCCUGAUUAUUAUUGUGCUGAUAUUUGAGCAGUAAACAUAUCAGCAGCCAGAAGUCUUCCUCAAACAAAGCAGGUU
rnacentral:lncRNA from 1 species